rnacentral:rRNA from 1 species
GGGAUAGAAUUCCAGGAGUAGCGGUGAAAUGCGUAGAUAUCUGGAGGAAUACCAAAGGCGAAGGCAGUCCCCUGGUCCGAUACUGACACUGAGGUACGAAAGCGUGGGGAGCAAACAGGAUUAGAUACCCUGGUAGUCCACGCCCUAAACGAUGUCGAUUAGCCAUUGGAAGGACCCCUUUCCUUUCAGUGACGUAGCUAACGCGUUAAAUCGACCGCCUGGGAAGUACGACCGCAAGGUUAAAACUCAAAGGAAUUGACGGGGACCUGAACAAGCGGUGAAUGAUGUGGAUUAAUUCGAUGCUACGCGAAGAACCUUACCUACCUUUGACAUGGCCAAAGUUCUACCGAGAGGCGGAAGUACUCGUAAGAGGAUUGGCGCACAGGUGCUGCAUGGUUGUCGUCAGUUCGUGUCGUGAGAUGUUGGGUUCAGUCCCGCAACGAACGCAACCCUUAUCUUUAAUUGCUCCUAUUUUAACAGGCACUUUAAAGAAACUGCCAAUGAUAAGUUGGAGGAAGGUGGGGAUCACGUCAAGUCCGCAUGGCCUUUAUAGGUAGGGCUUCACACGUCAUACAAUGGUUAGAACAAAGAGCUGCAAAUUCGUAAGAAGGAGCCAAUCUCACAAACCUAACCUCAGUUCGAAUUGCGGUCUGCAACUCGAGCGCAUGAAGCCGGAAUCGCUAGUAAUCGUGGAUCAGAAUGCCACGGUGAAUACGUUCUUAGGUCUU